UCCGGUUCUGUUCGGUGACAGGAGUGGGAAAGGCGAGUGGGGAGGGACGAGGCAGCGGUUCCUCGGAGCCUGACAGCGGCCGGUGGCUUUAGAGGAGCAGCUUCGGGAAAGGGCUUUUCUCCCCAGCCCAGACUGCGGGCUCAGAGAAAAUGACUGCAAUCAAGCAUGCCUUACAGAGGGAUAUUUUCACUCCAAAUGAUGAACGUUUACUAAGUAUUGUUAAUGUUUGCAAAGCAGGAAAAAAGAAGAGAAACUGCUUUUUGUGUGCCACAGUGACAACCGAACGCCCGGUGCAGGUAAACGUGGUAAAGGUGAAAAAAUCUGACAAGGGAGAUUUCUACAAGAGGCAGACUGCAUGGGUGCUUCGAGAUCUUGCUGUCGUUGAUGCCAAGGAUGCCAUCAAAGAAAACCCUGAGUUUGACCUGCAUUUUGAAAAAGUGUACAAAUGGGUUGCUAGCAGUAUAGCAGAAAAGAACACUUUCAUUUCAUGCAUUUGGAAACUCAAUCAGCGGUAUAUUAGAAAGAAGAUCGACUUCAUAAAUGUUAGUUCUCAGCUUCUAGAAGAAUCGGUUCCAAGCGGUGAGAAUCAGAAUGUGGCAGGAGGAGAUGAAGAGGUGGUGGACGAAUACCAAGAGUUAAAUGCAAGAGAAGAGCAGGACAUCGAAAUAAUGAUGGAAGGCUGUGAAUAUGCCAUCUCCAAUGCAGAGGCCUUCGCAGAUAAGUUGUCCAGAGAACUGCAAGUGCUCGAUGGGGCAAACAUCCACUCGAUCAUGGCCUCUGAGAAACAAGUGAACAUCUUGAUGAAGCUGCUGGAUGAGGCACUGAAAGAGGUGGACCAAAUUGAAGUGAAGCUGAGCAGUUAUGAGGAAAUGCUCCAGAGUGUGAAAGAACAAAUGGACCAGAUUUCGGAAAGCAACCAUCUAAUUCAUCUUAGCAACACUAACAACCUGAAAUUACUUUCAGAGAUAGAGUUCCUUGUUAACCAUAUGGAUUUGGCAAAAGGUCACAUCAAGGCCCUCCAGGAAGGAGACCUCUCAUCCUCCCGGGGCAUUGAGGCCUGCACUAAUGCGGCAGAUGCACUCUUACAGUGUAUGAGUGUAACUCUUCAGCCAGGGCAUGAGAUGCUCCAUGCUGUGAAGCAGCAGCAGCAGCGGUUUAGCGAUUUGCGAGAGCAGUUUGCACGGAGACUGGCCAGCCACCUCAACAAUGUAUUUGUUCAGCAGUUUAUAGAGCUGGAGAAGGGUCUCAUUAACAGGUCCUACUAUCUUUCAGUUCCUGGCCAUGACCAAAGUUCCACUCUUGCUCAGCACUCCAUUGAGUUGACCCUACCGAACCACCAUCCUUUUCACAGAGACUUGUUGCGCUAUGCCAAACUUAUGGAGUGGUUAAAGAACACAGAUUAUGGAAAAUAUGAAGGGCUAACAACGAACUAUAUGAACUACUUAUCACGGUUGUAUGACAGGGAAAUAAAGGAUUUCUUUGAAGUUGCCAAGAUUAAAAUGACUGGGGCAACGAAGGAAGGGAAGAAGUUUGCUACACUGCCUCGAAAAGAAAGUGCUGUCAAACAGGAAACGGAGAGUCUUCAUGGAAGUUCUGGGAAGCUGACAGGCUCCACUUCUAGCCUAAACAAACUCUCAGUUCAGAGUUCAGGAAAUCGCAGGUCUCAGUCCUCCUCUUUGCUGGAUAUGGGGAACAUGUCUGCAUCUGACCUCGAUGUGGCGGAUAGAACAAAGUUUGAUAAGAUUUUUGAACAAGUCCUAAGUGAACUGGAACCCUUGUGUCUGGCAGAACAAGACUUCAUUAGUAAAUUCUUCAAACUUCAACAGCAUCUUAGCAUUCCUGGAACACCCAUGAGUGAUGCAGAGGAGGUGGAUGGAGGAACUUUAUCAAGGGCACACAAUACUGGUGGUCUACAGUCAAUGUCUUCAGAGAAUCACAUGAUCCGGCAGAUGAUGAUAAAAAUAUUUCGCUGCAUUGAGCCAGAACUGAAUAACCUUAUCGCUCUUGGGGACAAGAUUGAUAGCUUUAAUUCCCUUUAUAUGCUGGUGAAAAUGAGUCACCACGUAUGGACAGCCCAAAACGUGGAUCCAACGUCCUUCCUCAGCACAACACUUGGAAACGUUUUAGUGACCGUCAAAAGGAACUUUGACAAGUGCAUUAGUAACCAAAUCAAACAGAUGGAAGAUGUAAAGAUAUCCAAGAAGAGUAAAGUUGGAAUUCUCCCCUUUGUUGCUGAAUUUGAAGAGUUUGCAGCCUUAGCUGAAUCCAUUUUUAGAAAUGCUGAACGCAGAGGAGACCUAGAUAAAGCCUACCUAAAACUUAUUAGGGGAGUUUUCACUAAUGUGGAGAAAGUAGCAAAUGAAAGCCAAAAGACACCGCGGGAUGUGGUCAUGAUGGAGAAUUUUCACCAUAUCUUUGCAACUCUUUCUCGGUUGAAAAUCUCGUGUUUGGAGGCUGAGAAAAAGGAAGCUAAACAAAAAUAUACGGAUCACCUGCAGUCCUACGUCAUCUACUCUUUGGGACAGCCACUUGAGAAAUUAAAUCACUUCUUUGAGGGCGUUGAAGCUCGUGUGGCGCAAGGUGUAAGAGAAGAGGAAGUGAGCUACCAGCUGGCGUUCAAUAAACAGGAGCUAAGAAAAGUUAUAAAGGAGUAUCCCGGCAAGGAAGUGAAAAAGGGGUUGGACAAUCUUUAUAAGAAGGUGGAUAAACACUUGUGUGAAGAGGAAAACCUACUUCAGGUGGUGUGGCAUUCUAUGCAAGAUGAGUUCAUACGUCAGUACAAGCAUUUUGAGGGCUUAAUAGCACGCUGUUAUCCUGGAUCUGGAAUUACUAUGGAGUUCACUAUCCAAGACAUUUUAGACUACUUCUCCAGCAUUGCACAGUCUCACUAAUAUCUGCCAAGGGUUAAAGCAAGAUAAACUAAUGAAUUUGCUGGGAAGAAACUUUUAGCACUGAAGACUUGUUACUUUGUGAGAUGGAAUUUUGAGGAAUGUCCUUAAUUAUCUUUAUGCCCAUCAGUUGAUGGCCUGAGGAGAAAUGUUGCUUACUUACUUGAUAGAAACAAUGUUAAAGCAUACUUUUUCACAUGUAACACAGUCUGGCUUGUUUUAUUUUCCAUGUUGAUUAGCCUUGUAUAAAUCCUAAACUCUUUGGCUUUCCUGCAGCGUCCAGUAAUUAUGUUAAAGUAUUAAAAUUAUUGUACAAGGCUGAAAGGGUUUCUGUAUCAAAAUGUAUUAAUAUAUGGAUUGAUGGAACUUGCAAGCAUGCUCUCAAUAAUCUAUUUACAUGACUUUAUGGUUGUAAUUCUUCUGAUCCAAGAUAAAAAUAACGUUUACAAAGGAGUUCCUUGUAUUUAUUUACCUAUCUUAUGACGUGCAUUACACAAAAGGAAAAAAUUG